rnacentral:SRP_RNA from 1 species
CGCCGGUCCCCUCGCGACGGCCAACCGUGAACUCCGUCAGGCCCGGAAGGGAGCAGCGGUAACGGGGGUGCCGGGCGCCGGGGUGUGGCUGGCGUGG